rnacentral:rRNA from 1 species
UACGAAGGGUGCAAGCGUUAAUCGGAAUUACUGGGCGUAAAGCGUGCGUAGGUGGUCUUUUAAGUCCGUUGUGAAAGCCCUGGGCUCAACCUGGGAAUGGCAGUGGAUACUGGAAGGCUGGAGUACGGUAGAGGAGGGUGGAAUUCCCGGUGUAGCGGUGAAAUGCGUAGAUAUCGCCUGGAACGCCAAAGGUGAAAACAGACAGCUGGGAGUGUGCUGACGCUGAGACACGAAAGCCAGGGGAGCGAACGGG